rnacentral:rRNA from 1 species
AGAGUUUGAUCCUGGCUCAGGACGAACGCUGGCGGCGUGCCUAAUACAUGCAAGUCGAGCGCAGGAAGCAGACAGAAGCUCUUCGGAGCGGACGUCUGUGGAAUGAGCGGCGGAUGGGUGAGUAACACGUGGGCAACCUGCCUUAUGGUUCGGGAUAACUCCGGGAAACUGGAGCUAAUACCGGAUAAGAUUUUCCUUCGCCUGAAGGAAAAAUGAAAGACGGCUCUACGAGCUGUCGCCAAAAGAUGGGCCCGCGUCGCAUUAGCUGGUUGGUGGGAUAAAAGCUCACCAAGGCGACGAUGCGUAGCCGACCUGAGAGGGUGAUCGGCCACACUGGGACUGAGACACGGCCCAGACUCCUACGGGAGGCAGCAGUAGGGAAUCUUCCGCAAUGGACGAAAGUCUGACGGAGCGACGCCGCGUGAGUGAUGAAGGUCUUCGGAUCGUAAAACUCUGUUGUGAGGGAAGAACAAGGGUGAGUUGAAGAAGCUCACCCCUUGACGGUACCUCACCAGAAAGCCCCGGCUAACUACGUGCCAGCAGCCGCGGUAAUACGUAGGGGGCGAGCGUUGUCCGGAAUUAUUGGGCGUAAAGGGCGCGCAGGCGGCCUUCUAAGUCUGAUGUGAAAUCUCGUGGCUUAACCACGAACGGUCAUUGGAAACUGGAGGGCUUGAGUACAGAAGAGGAGAGUGGAAUCCCCGUGUA